UGAAAUACAGUGAAGAAGGAAAGUAAUAUAAAUUGUGCAUUCAGAGAGGAAAUCAUAUGCUGUGAGAUUUCUAUGUAAGAUUUAUGUGAAGUGCCCUUUGGAGUUUUGCACCGAAUAAAGUAGGCUGCAACGGGAUUACCCGUUAUAGUAAUAGAGCAUAAAAUUUAAAUUAUAUUUUAAAUGACGGUGCUUGAAAAGGUGGAAUUUUAUUCAAUUAGGGUGGAACCGCAGAGUAUAAUAGCUUUGUCUCUAGA
rnacentral:ncRNA from 1 species